rnacentral:rRNA from 1 species
CUUGGUCAUUUAGAGGAAGUAAANGUCGUAACAAGGUUUCCGUAGGUGAACCUGCGGAAGGAUCAUUAUCGAAUCGUAGGCGAGGGUUGUCGCUGGCCUCUCGGGGCAUGUGCACGCCCGAGCCCUUGAAUCCCAAACACCACAUGUGAACCCACCGUAGGCCUUCGGGCCUAUGUCUUAUCAUAUAAUCUGAAUGUCUAAUAGAAUGUAAACCCAUUUCGUUGCCUUGAAAACGUAACGAAAGAAAACUAUACAACUUUCAACAACGGAUCUCUUGGCUCUCGCAUCGAUGAAGAACGCAGCGAAAUGCGAUAAGUAAUGUGAAUUGCAGAUUUUCAGUGAAUCAUCGAAUCUUUGAACGCACCUUGCGCCCCUUGGUAUUCCGAGGGGCAUGCCUGUUUGAGUGUCAUUAAAUCCUCAACCCCUCCGAUUCGUUUCGGUGGGGAUUGGACUUGGAGCGUGCUGGCGAAGGUCGGCUCCUCUUUAAAUGCAUCAGCGGAGAAAAUGCCUUUUGCGCCUCUGGCCGUUCAGCGUGAUAAUGAUGUUGCGCUGCGGUCGAGCUUAAGGUCCGCUUCCAAAGGUCCUCGGACAAAUAUACAUAUGACUUUUGACCUCAAAUCAGGUAGGACUACCCGCUGAACUUAAGCAUAUCAAUAAGCGGAGGA